CCUAGAUAGCCAUACCUUAAAUCUCUCAGUAUUUUGACUCUGUAAUAAUUGGUAGCAUUUAAUUAUAAAAUGUUUAAAGGCAGCGAAGCAGUUGCCUCUGUCAUCAGGUUGGGAUUAAAGGCAGCACAAUUAUGGCAUUGUGUUCCUGCUACUUAGGGUUCUUGACCUGAAGCUUCCUUGGUACUUCGCUGAGCAACGUUACAGAGACACUUCCAGGAAAAUAAAGCCAGUAUAAACCGAGGUAAUAAAUUUGAGAAAGAAUACAACAACAACAACAACAACAAAAUCUCCCAAGAGUUCCAUGUUUCCAGAUACCCUAUAGAGGAUGAGAACUUCUGCUCUACAUUUCCCUACAGAGAAGGUUCUGGAAAUCUAAAUUCCCCAGAAUCCUACUGUUGACAAAUGGGCAUGACAACUACAGAUCUAUGAAAACUCUGCUGAGGAACUUUUUCCCUCAUCAUCAAC
rnacentral:lncRNA from 1 species